rnacentral:rRNA from 1 species
GAUGAACGCUGGCGGCGUGCCUAAUACAUGCAAGUCGAGCGAACGGACGAGAAGCUUGCUCCUCUGAUGUUAGCCGCGGACGGGUGAGUAACACGUGGAUAACCUACCUAUAAGACUGGGAUAACUUCGGGAAACCGGAGCUAAUACCGGAUAAUAUUUUGAACCGCAUGGUUCAAUAGUGAAAGACGGUCUUGCUGUCACUUAUAGAUGGAUCCGCGCUGCAUUAGCUAGUUGGUAAGGUAACGGCUUACCAAGGCAACGAUGCAUAGCCGACCUGAGAGGGUGAUCGGCCACACUGGAACUGAGACACGGUCCAGACUCCUACGGGAGGCAGCAGUAGGGAAUCUUCCGCAAUGGGCGAAAGCCUGACGGAGCAACGCCGCGUGAGUGAUGAAGGUCUUCGGAUCGUAAAACUCUGUUAUUAGGGAAGAACAUAUGUGUAAGUAACUGUGCACAUCUUGACGGUACCUAAUCAGAAAGCCACGGCUAACUACGUG